GCCAUCCAAGAUGACGAAAUCAUCUCCUACAUCAUCCACGGCCUCGACGUCGACUACCAUCCCCUCGUCUCCGCCCUUGAUGCACGCGUCAUGCCGGUCUCCCUCGACGAGCUCUAUGCCAUGCUCAGCAACUUCGACC
rfam:Triticum aestivum genome assembly, contig: Triticum_aestivum_CS42_TGACv1_scaffold_193799_3AL